rnacentral:rRNA from 1 species
CCUACGGGUGGCAGCAGUGGGGAAUAUUGCACAAUGGGGGAAACCCUGAUGCAGCGACGCCGCGUGAGUGAAGAAGGAUUUCGGUAUGUAAAGCUCGAUCAGCAGGGAAGAAAAGGACGGUACCUGAGGAAGAAGCACCGGCUAACUACGUGCCAGCAGCCGCGGUAAUACGUAGGGGGCAAGAGUUAUCCGGAUUUACUGGGGGUAAAGGGAGCGUAGACGGCAGCACCAGUCUGGAGGGAAAUGCCGGGGCUUAACCCCUGAACUGCGUGGGAAACUGUGCAGCUAGAGUGCAGGAGAGGUAAGUGGAAUUCCUAGUGUAGCGGUGAAAUGCGUAGAUAUUAGGAGGAACACCAGUGGCGAAGGCGGCUUACUGGACUGUACCUGACGUUGAGGCUCGAAAGCGUGGGGAGCAAACAGGAUUAGAUACCCCUGUAGUC